rnacentral:lncRNA from 1 species
GUUGCGGUCCCACUCCAGCCAAGCCGCUCUUCAUUGUUCAAGCGGGUCUUGAGGACACGCCUGCGCAGUGGGUAGCUGGGAGAGCGAGUGGGUGAGACCCUCUGCAAAGCCCCCUUUCAUUGUCUGGGUCUGGCGCCUGCGCAGUGAGGUAUCGCUGGGCCCUGGCAGGAGGAGGGAGAGGGCCUGGCUGGUUGCCCUCUGCGAGGCGCCUGCGCACUGAGCCGCCGCUCGCUGCUGUUCCCGCUAUGUGUGGGGCGUGUGUGGAAUAACGUUAUUGCCCAGCGGAACCGAGGGGGCCCCAGCUCCACAGCGGCGGCGGCGGCGGCGGCGGCGACGACGAGGACGACGACAACGGCGAGGGGGUGGGAGGAGGACAGCGUGGCAGAGACUGACGGGACGCGCCGCGCCCCGCCUCCCGGUCCGGUCCCUCUCUGCGGUGAGGGGAACCUUGUAGAGUCAAGAAUGAUGAACAGAAUUAUCUUCAGGUGGAGAGCCAAAAGAAUACAGUCUAGACUAUGAAAGAACAUAAGUGAUUCAAAGGUUAGCUAAAAGAUGAGAGAGUUCAUUUGUUUUCUGAUUUACUAACUUAGUUUUAAACUUUUGCUGCUACCUUUAUAAAUGAAAGUACAAAUCUCUUUACGCUCUUUUGAUUAGAAUAAAUUAUCAGCGUAUCUAUAUUGCCUGCUAUAAAUGCAAAACACUUAACUGAAGCCACCCUUCAUAUGAAAAGCAUAUGGUGUUUGUUUGUGGAGCUUCAGUAACUAGAGCAGCAGCCACUAAGCACCUGUUUAACAAAAGUUUCUCAGUCUACAAAGGAAAGCAAGUCAUGGUUUACAUUUUCAUAAGCUGGCAGAGAAAUCUUGGUAAGAACUCUUAAUGCCUCAGCCAUGCAGAUGUGUUGCAUUUUUCUGGUAGGACUAUUCAUUGAGGAUUUAAUAAAUGAUUUUAUGAAGGAAGUUUAUUAAGUUGCUACCUUUUCUCAUUAAAUUAAGUUUUCUUUUGAAAAUGUAUAAUAAAGUUAGAUACAACAUGAGGAAUGCCAUCUAUUUUUUGGUGAACAAAUAUUAAGUUGUAGAUUCUAUCUGUUAUUGGUUCAUAUUUAUUUUAACUGCUUUUAAAGAAGAGUUGAUGAUUUACAUAGCAAAUAUAAAGGUCAAAUUUAGGCAUUUAUUCCAAUAUAAUGAAUAUGAGAACAAAAAGUAUUCCCUUCG